rnacentral:rRNA from 1 species
CAGUCGCCGCGGUAAAACAGAGGGUGCAAGCGUUAAUCGGAAUUACUGGGCGUAAAGCGCGCGUAGGUGGUUUGUUAAGUUGGAUGUGAAAUCCCCGGGCUCAACCUGGGAACUGCAUCCAAAACUGGCAAGCUAGAGUAUGGUAGAGGGUGGUGGAAUUUCCUGUGUAGCGGUGAAAUGCGUAGAUAUAGGAAGGAACACCAGUGGCGAAGGCGACCACCUGGACUGAUACUGACACUGAGGUGCGAAAGCGUGGGGAGCAAACAGGAUUAGAGACCCGCGUAGUCCCUGUCUCUUAUAC